AAUAAAGAGCCUGAACCCAGCUGGGGAAGGUUGGCAGGUGUGAGAAAGAACAUAGGCACAGGCUGUGCAGAUCCUGGGGAGACACUUGCUUGGACUUCUUGGGAGGGAUAUUUUAAGCAAGAGACUGACAUUUAGUGCCUGAAACUCAGAGCAAGGAACACAAGAAGUUGGUGUUUGACUUUGACCAAACCCUAAAUUCAGACCAGCCCUAGUAAGCAACUCAGGAUUCAGAUAAACCAGUACGGCCAGGUGCUAGACACAGCUGUGAACAGCAAAAGCACUCUGGAAUAUUACACAGUUGAUUUCUAGCUGUGGUUGUAACAUAGCUGAGUGGCAAAUUAGUUUCUCAGCGCUUCUGUUUACUUGGUAAACCCUCACCCUGUUGAGAAAGUUGAAUGAACAGAUGAGGAAGCUGGAAGCUGUCAAGCCCUGCCUAGAGCCCAGUGACCUAGAGGCUUCCUUCUAAACUGGACUGUUAGUAGGGAAUCUGGUUGAUAUGAGUUUGGGGCCUAGAGAAUACUUUUAUACUUUUUUUUUUUUCUUUAAACAUUAGUCAACUGUAGUAGUGAGGAGGAGAGAAAGAUUAGAACAAGGAGUUUAAGCACUUAAAAAAUCCCAACUCUAUUCUUUCUCUGCAGCACCCUCAUCACAUGUGUGGAUUCUGGGAUUCUCAGAGUCUGGCAUGACAAGGACAAGGACACAUCCUCUGACCCACUCCUGGAACUGAGAGUGGGCCCUGGGGUGUGUAGGAUGCGCCAAGACCCAGCACACCCCCAUGUGGUUGCCACAGGUGG
rnacentral:sRNA from 1 species